rnacentral:rRNA from 1 species
GCAUCGAUGAAGAACGCAGCGAAAUGCGAUAAGUAAUAUGAAUUGCAGAUAUUCGUGAAUCAUCGAAUCUUUGAACGCACAUUGCGCCCUUUGGUAUUCCAAAGGGCAUGCCUGUUUGAGCGUCAUUU